rnacentral:rRNA from 1 species
CACGUAGUUAGCCGUGGCUUUCUGAUUAGGUACCGUCAAGACGUGCAUAGUUACUUACACAUUUGUUCUUCCCUAAUAACAGAGUUUUACGAUCCGAAGACCUUCAUCACCCACGCGGCGUUGCUCCGUCAGGCUUUCGCCCAUUGCGGAAGAUUCCCUACUGCUGCCUCCCGUAGGAGUCUGGACCGUGUCUCAGUUCCAGUGUGGCCGAUCACCCUCUCAGGUCGGCUACGCAUCGUCGCCUUGGUAAGCCGUUACCUUACCAACUAGCUAAUGCGGCGCGGAUCCAUCUAUAAGUGACAGCAAAACCGUCUUUCACUAUUGAACCAUGCGGUUCAAUAUAUUAUCCGUAUUAGCUCGGUUUCCCGAAGUUAUCCCAGUCUUAUAGGUAGGUUAUCCACGUGUUACUCUACCCGUCCGCCGCUAACGUCAGAGGAGCAAGCUCCUCGUCUGUUCGCUCGACUUGCAUGUAUUAGGCUAGCCGCCAGCGUUCAUCCUGACGCC